rnacentral:tRNA from 1 species
GUUACUGUAGCUUAACUAACUAAAGCGCGGCCCUGAAGUUGCCGUAAUGGAACACCCUGCUCCCAGAAACA